GGCAGAGGAGAGGUCUGACAUGAUGCAUUGAAGUCUUACAACAUUUACAAUAUUAAUAACAGAUUUAGAUGGGGUUUGCAGUUCUCAUUUGAAGUAUUCAAAUAAGACCUCCAGGAGAAGGGGACAUUGAUCAUUCUGCUGACAAUAAGAAAGCUGGCUUAUUCUACCUUCUCCCAACCCUAACUCACUGGGGAAAGGUGGAGAGGUCCUUUUUAAUCUGAACAUGGGAGUACUUCUGGUGCAGCAAGAUUACCACCUGAACUUCUCUUUGAUAGGGCUGCCUGCCCACAGCAGCUCCCUCUAGUGGCUCUUAAGGAUCCCAUUAGCGUUGCCCAAUAAAACUACAACUCCCAUGCAGACUUGUGGGUGUCUGAUCAGGAAGCACUCCAGAAGGAUGCCACCACCAAGUGUACUGGGAGAAUGCAUGGCCUCAGGACGCAGUCUAUCUCUGCCCCUCCAUUAUAACUGCUUCUCUACCAGGAAGGGUACCACUAACUAACUUGAUAAGGAUGCCCAUCCACCUAUAUAGUUCUUUUAAAAAGGCCAGGUAACAAACCAUCCAUCCCAGCUGGGAUGCCAGCCAAACUGUGUCGUCUGUGACACAUAUAAAAAAUUAGCAUUUUUGGGUGGAGUAUUCCUUUUAAUCACAUUGUGGCUGAAACAGAAAAAAAUAUCUACCUGCAUUACAGUUGAACUGAUGGCAUCUGCAAGCCCAAGCCCCCCUGUAUGAGGUGCUGACUCCAAGGUUCUGCUUUGUUGCACCCCCAAAAUGAUGUCACUAAAAGUAAAUGUUUAAAAUAUUUAAUUCUUCAGUACUUAUUUUAAAUUCAUUGUAUUAAUAUUUUAUUCUUUGUAAUUCCUAAUGUUAUUCUGAAUUGUUAA